rnacentral:rRNA from 1 species
UGUCGUAGCUAACGCAUUAAGCGCCCCGCCUGGGGAGUACGGCCGCAAGGCUAAAACUCAAAGGAAUUGACGGGGGCCCGCACAAGCGGCGGAGCAUGCGGAUUAAUUCGAUGCAACGCGAAGAACCUUACCAAGGCUUGACAUACACCGGAAACGGCCAGAGAUGGUCGCCCCCUUGUGGUCGGUGUACAGGUGGUGCAUGGUUGUCGUCAGCUCGUGUCGUGAGAUGUUGGGUUAAGUCCCGCAACGAGCGCAACCCUCGUUCUAUGUUGCCAGCGCGUUAUGGCGGGGACUCAUAGGAGACUGCCGGGGUCAACUCGGAGGAAGGUGGGGAUGACGUCAAAUCAUCAUGCCCCUUAUGUCUUGGGCUUCACGCAUGCUACAAUGGCCGGUACAAAGGGCUGCGAUACCGUAAGGUGGAGCGAAUCCCAAAAAGCCGGUCUCAGUUCGGAUUGAGGUCUGCAACUCGACCUCAUGAAGUCGGAGUCGCUAGUAAUCGCAGAUCAGCAACGCUGCGGUGAAUACGUUCCCGGGCCUUGUACACACCGCCCGUCAAGUCAUGAAAGUCGGUAACACCCGAAGCCGGUGGC